rnacentral:rRNA from 1 species
GAUGAACGCUAGCGACAGGCCUAACACAUGCAAGUCGAGGGGCAGCAUUACCGCUUGCGGUAGAUGGCGACCGGCGCACGGGUGCGUAACGCGUAUGGAACCUUCCUCUUACAGGGGGACAGCCCGGAGAAAUCUGGAUUAAUACCCCAUUGUUCCCUUUGCCCGCAUGGGCAUUGGGAUAAAGUUUCGGCGGUAAGAGAUGGCCAUGCGUGACAUUAGGUAGUUGGAGGGGUAACGGCCCCCCAAGCCGACGAUGUCUAGGGGUUCUGAGAGGAAGGUCCCCCACACUGGUACUGAGACACGGACCAGACUCCUACGGGAGGCAGCAGUGAGGAAUAUUGGUCAAUGGGCGAGAGCCUGAACCAGCCAUGUCGCGUGCAGGAAGACUGCCCUAUGGGUUGUAAACUGCUUUUGUACGGGAAUAACGCGUCCUACGUGUAGGAUCUUGAAGGUACCGUACGAAUAAGCAUCGGCUAACUCCG